rnacentral:rRNA from 1 species
GGAAGGUGGGGAGUGACGUCAAGUCAUCAUGGCCCUUACCGGCCUGGGCGUACACACGUGCUACAAUGGUCGGUACAAAGGGUUAGGCCAAGCCGCGAGGUGGAGGCUAAUCCCAUAAAACCGAUCGUAGUCCGGAUCGCAGUCUGCAACUCGACUGCGUGAAGUCGGAAUCGCUAGUAAUCGUGAAUCAGAAUGUCACGGUGAAUACGUUCCCGGGCCUU